UACGUAGGUGACAAGCGUUGUCCGGAUUUACUGGGCGUAAAGAGCGCGCAGGCGGUCGAUCAAGUCGCGUGUGAAAGCCCCCGGCUCAACUGGGGAGGGUCACGCGAUACUGAUCGACUCGAAGGCAGGAGAGGGUAGUGGAAUUCCCGGUGUAGUGGUGAAAUGCGUAGAUAUCGGGAGGAACACCAGUGGCGAAGGCGACUACCUGGCCUGUUUCUUGACGCUGAGGCGCGAAAGCUAGGGGAGCAAACGGG
rnacentral:rRNA from 1 species